GGGCCGCAGAGGGCGUCUGGAGACCGGAGAAACCGCGGCCGUCUGGCCCCUCGCCUCGGCCGGGGCUGUCCCUUUAAAUCCUGGAGGAGGCAAAGAGAAAAAAGGAAAGAAAGAAAAAAGACGCGGAGCCCCGAGAGGCUGGUGGCUCUGCUCUGCCCCCCACUCCGCCCCCGCGCAGAGGCCUGACUCCCGCCCGCCGCCUCCGCAGGUCCUGGGCGUCCCCCGCAGCGCCGCCUACUCGCCACAGUUACUGUCAAAAUAGAAAUUAACGGAGCCGGGAGGAAGCUGGGACACAGCAAGUGCAUGUGUGGCAGGGCGGGGAGGGGGCCGCAGGGGAGCAGGCGGGCGCGAGCGAGGAGAGGCGACCGCAGACAUCCGGGCCCUUUAGCCCCGUGCGCCCCCCGAGCCGGCGGCGCGGGCACCGGGCGCGGGGCUCCGGGCUGACAGCCGCGGCGCGGGAGGCGGGGCGCAAGGAGGGCGGAGGCGCAGCACCGGGAGGGAGGAGCUGUCCGCGCGCCCGCCGCCACCGCUCGACUCCACACCCGCCGGCGCAGCCCCGCCACGAGACUCUGACAGCGGCGCGGCCAGCGCUGCUCGCGAGCGCAGGGACGGACAGACAGCCGCCGCGAAGGAGGACGCGAGCACCGCUGCCGGGCGCCAAGUGCGCGAGGCGCGCGGAGACGGAGGCGCGCAGAGCUAUAUGGAUCUCCACCUGCCCCGGGCUUGCUGAACUGUGGCCUGUGCUGCUUGUUGCAGAAGGAGGUUGAUCCUGGCUUCCGUGGCCAGGCAGGGAUGUCCUAGGUGUGAGUUCUCUGUGCUGAUAGAAGCUG
rnacentral:lncRNA from 1 species